rnacentral:rRNA from 1 species
UACAGAGGUCUCAAGCGUUGUUCGGAUUCAUUGGGCGUAAAGGGUGCGUAGGCGGCGCGGUAAGUCGGGUGUGAAAUCUCGGAGCUUAACUCCGAAAACUGCAUUCGAUACUGCCGUGCUUGAGGACUGGAGAGGAGACUGGAAUUUACGGUGUAGCGGUGAAAUGCGUAGAUAUCGUAAGGAAGACCAGUGGCGAAGGCGGGUCUCUGGACAGUUCCUGACGGCUG